AAUAGAUACCCCGGUAGUCCACGCCGUAAACGAUGAGUGCUAAGUGUUAGGGGGUUUCCGCCCCUUAGUGCUGCAGCUAACGCAUUAAGCACUCCGCCUGGGGAGUACGGUCGCAAGACUGAAACUCAAAGGAAUUGACGGGGGCCCGCACAAGCGGUGGAGCAUGUGGUUUAAUUCGAAGCAACGCGAAGAACCUUACCAGGUCUUGACAUCCCGCUGACCGCUAUGGAGACAUAGCUUUCCCUUCGGGGACAGCGGUGACAGGUGGUGCAUGGUUGUCGUCAGCUCGUGUCGUGAGAUGUUGGGUUAAGUCCCGCAACGAGCGCAACCCUUGUCCUUAGUUGCCAUCAUUCAGUUGGGCACUCUAAGGAGACAGCCGUACAAAUACGGAGGAAGGUGGGGAUGACGUCAAAUCAUCAUGCCCCUUAUGACCUGGGCUACACACGUGCUACAAUGGACGGUACAAACGGUUGCGAAGUCGCGAGACGGAGCCAAUCCGAGAAAGCCGUUCUCAGUUCGGAUUGCAGGCUGCAACCG
rnacentral:rRNA from 1 species